GACGAACGCUGGCGGCGUGCCUAAUACAUGCAAGUCGAGCGGAAGUUGGAGAGCUUGCUCUUCAACUUUAGCGGCGGACGGGUGAGUAACACGUGGGCAACCUGCCCUGCAGAUCGGGAUAACUCCGGGAAACCGGUGCUAAUACCGAAUAGUUUUCGCCACCUCCUGGUGGCGUACGGAAAGACGGUUUCGGCUGUCACUGCAGGAUGGGCCCGCGGCGCAGUAGCUAGUUGGGGGGGUAACGGCCCACCAAGGCGACGAUGCGUAGCCGACCUGAGAGGGUGAUCGGCCACACUGGGACUGAGACACGGCCCAGACUCCUACGGGAGGCAGCAGUAGGGAAUCUUCCGCAAUGGACGAAAGUCUGACGGAGCAACGCCGCGUGAGUGACGAAGGUUUUCGGAUCGUAAAACUCUGUUGUGAGGGAAGAACAAGUACCAAUUAACUACUGGUACCUUGACGGUACCUCACCAGAAAGCCACGGCUAACUACGUGCCAGCAGCCGCCGUAACAC
rnacentral:rRNA from 1 species